rnacentral:lncRNA from 1 species
CCGGGGCAGCGAAACCCCACAGAAAGGGAAUUCCUCCCGCCUGGAGUUAGCCUGAAGUCUGCCCGCUCAGAGAAGCGCCAGGCUCCUUCCUUUCUUUCUUUCCUUCCUUCCUUUCUUUUCUUUUUCUUUCUUUUUUUUCCCUCUUUCUUCUUCUUUUUUUCUUCCUUUUCGUAUCUUUUUCUUCUUCUUUUAAACUUUUACUUUUUUUUUCUUCUCUAUUUAUUUUAAUUUAUUUUUAUUUUGGCCACUACCAGCACGACAACAAACACCUCUCAGCCUUGGCUCCGGGGCAGGUGAUUCCACGGCGCUGAGCAGCCCUCGUCACCCCUUUCUUUCCCCGGCAGCCUCUGACCUCGUGCUCAGCUACCGAACAAGACGGCGCGUUGCUCUGCAGUCCUUAUGUCCCCAGCACUGCUCCGUUAAGCGCACGGUGUCCGCAGUGCCCCCGUCCCCUUUGCCCGUCCCCUGCAGUGGGAGCCGUCCCCUUCUCCAGCAGGAGAGAAACUUCGGUGGGAAGUUGUGGCAGCCGUGAUUGCGGCGAUACGGCCGCUAAUUGGGGCCGGCAGCGAUCUGCGGGCGGACGGCGUCACCUUCUGGCCGAGGCGGGCACCAUCCCGAGCACCGCCGGGGGUUCGGGUAAGAAAUGCCGGCUGAUUUGAAAAGCACGCAUUAAAACACGG